GAAAACGAGAUGGUCUUGAAUUAGAGG
rnacentral:piRNA from 1 species